GACGAACGCUGGCGGCGUGCUUAACACAUGCAAGUCGAACGGAAAGGCCCUGCUUUUGUGGGGUGCUCGAGUUGCGAACGGGUGAGUAACACGUGAGUAACCUGCCCUUGACUUUGGGAUGACUUCAUGAAACUGGGGCUAAUACCGGAUAGGAGCUCCUGCUGCAUGGUGGGGGUUGGAAAGUUUCGGCGGUUGGGGAUGGACUCGCGGCUUAUCAGCUUGUUGGUGGGGUAGUGGCUUACCAAGGCUUUGACGGGUAGCCGGCCUGAGAGGGUGACCGGACACAUUGGGACUGAGAUAAGGCACAGACUAGUACGGGAGGCAGGAGUGGGGAAUAUUGCACAAUGGGCGGAAGCCUGAUGCAGCAACGCCGCGUGCGGGAUGACGGCCUUCGGGUUGUAAACCGCUUUCGCCUGUGACGAAGCGUGAGUGACGGUAAUGGGUAAAGAAGCACCGGCUAACUACGUG
rnacentral:rRNA from 1 species